CGGGACGGGCCCGGCGGAGGCCGGGGGGCGCAGCCGCGGCACCGCCGGUAACGGCCGGGGCGGGAGCGGCCGCAGCCCCGCCGCCCCUCCGCGCCCUGCGGCGCCCCCCGAGACCCGCGGAGCUGCAGCCGGAGGUGAUGUGAACUAGUGUGCGGCAGAAAUUUGGACUGGACGAUGAUCACCAGAGGUCCCUUGAGAACAUCUCUGCCGGGGCUGCUAUAGCGACGCGGAGGACGCCGGCGCCGAGCGGAGCCGCAGGGACGGAGCCCGGACAUGCCCUUCUCCCAGCGUACCUAUCACCCGCCGGGAACCGGGCCCGGCGCGGGGCCGGCGGCGUUUCCCGCAUUCCAGUUCCGCGCGCGGCACGAGAACCCGGACUGGCGGCGGCUGAGCACCGUGGACGUGGAGCGGGUGUCGCGGGAGGGGGACGUGGCGGUCCUGCAGGCGCACCUGGAGCAUGUCACCUUCUGCAACGCCGAGCGGGAGUGCUGCCCGCACUGCCAGGGCCCCGCAGACCCGCUGCUGCUGAAGCUGCUGCGCCUGGCGCAGCUCUCUACCGAGUACCUGCUGCACUCCCAGGAGUACCUCAGCGCCCAGCUCGGCAGCCUGGAGGAGGCCUUGAGAGAGACACAGGCCCAGCGUGACCAGCUGAGCAAGGAGGUGGCCCAGCGCUUGCAUGAGAUCCAGGGGCUUAAGGAGGAAUGCCGGCGGAGGAAGAAGAUGAUCAGCACCCAGCAGAUGAUGCUGGAGGCACGAGCCAACUACCACCAGUGUCCAUUUUGUGAAAAGGCUUUUAUGACCUAUUCCUUUUUACAAAGUCACAUUCAAAGGCGUCACCCAGGAGAGUCUGAGAUUGAACAGAAGAAGAAAGGGAAUAUAGAAAAAUUGCAGGAUGAGAUUGAAAAACUGAAGGAGCAGUUGCAGCUCACCAAGUCCCAGUUAGAGUUUGAACAAAAGGCUAAUUUGGCCAGGUUGUCUAAGGAAUGCGAGCAGCAAAAAUCGAAAGAAGAAGAGUUUCUACAAUCAUUUCAUAAAUGGAAAGACGAGGAAAGAGAGAAAUUUGCUGAUCAAAUAGAAAAAGUGAAAGAUAUGUUUACAAAAGAGCUUAAGGAUUUACAUUCAAGAAAUUCAACCUUAGAAAAUCAACUGUUAGAAUUACAAAAGUCCAAUAUGCAGCAAAAAUCCAAUUUAGGAGUACUGAAAGACAGCCAUGAGUUUACAGAGGAGACACCUCAUCAUCUUCGGGAUCAUCCAUAUGUGGUUAGACUUCUGGAAAAACAGGAAAAGAAGUGGGUGUCUUGUAUGCAAGCCAAGUGUCAGGACCAUGAGACAGAAACAUCCCUGUUACGGUCAGAGGUUGAGAACACCAAAACAUCAGCGAGGGAAGACCUGAACAGAAAUAACAUCUUUUACAGGAAGAGGAUAGAAGAAUUGGAGAAGAGGCUUCAGGAGCAGAAUGAUCUGAUUAAUAGUCAGAGGAGGCAGAUAAGAGAAUUGUCUGUGAAACCAGCUCCAAGUGUUAAAACAUAUGAUGUGAACACUCCUGUAGAGCGUCUUCAAGAAUCUAAACCAAGUCCAUCAAUUCCCCCACCUGAAACUGAGAAAAGUGAUCUAAAACCAGACAGAAGUAAGAACUAUUUAAUAAAUGCUCUGAAGUCUGAUCCUUCUUUAACUAAAGAAUUGCGAGUUGUUUUGGAGCAAGCUCUGGAGGAGAAGCUGGAAUCCUUGGGAAUUAAAGCAGGUGUUCGUGGAAUAUCAAGUGAUCGCUUAAAUAAAAUUUUGCGAGCUAUUGAAUAUGCCAGAGAACGCAAAGGGAGGCAAGAGCCCGCCAUUCAGGGAAUUCGAGAGCGCCUUGAACGUCAAGUUGGCCUUCGGGUGGAAGAGAGAUCAUUAUCUUCUAGCAGAGCUGAUUCCUGUGUUCAGCUUCCUGGCGAAGAAAAACACAGGUGCAACCCAUUGGGAAUUUCCUUGCUUGCUAUACCUCAAAAACCAUCCAAGUGGUCUCCAUCAGCUGUCCGCCCACCUGGACAAAGAACAAUCAUCCCUGACUAUAGUUCUACACCAAGACCCGGGAAGAUUCUUGGAAGUGGAGUUUCCAGAAAGACAUCUAGCACCACAACACCACCAUUCAGUUCAGAGGAAGAAGCUGAUGAAGAUGAUACGAAACAGCCUUAUGUAACACCAGAGGCAUUGCAAAAACAGUCAAAACCAUCAAGCAGCAUAGUCCAUGCUUUUCAGAAGCCUUUUGGCAAAAGCAAUGGGGAUGGGAUGGAGGAAAAUGGACCUCAGGAAACUGGAACACCUGCCAAAACUUUGAAAGGUACAGUUAUUCAAAAACUGACCAAACAAGUUGGAGAGAGUCUUUCUAACCAUGGAAUUAAGAACAAACCUGCUGGAGGAAUUAAUGUUGCACAGGCAUUUAUUAAGAAACAAGGAGUGAAAGAACCAAAGCUCGCAGAAGCUAGUAAAGAUGAUUGGGAUAUUUCAUCAGAAGAAGAAAACAUUUUAUUGAUGGAAGUUGACAGAGAUCAGAAGGCAAUGACAGUUCAGAAAAACGAGCCCAGUGCUGCAUCUGUGGUUCAUGCAUGGGGCCUUCCCAAGAAAAGUGCGCCAAAGGAGGAAGGCCUUCAUGAAGCUGAUAAUACAAGCACGUUAAAAAGCAGCUUAGUCUCUGUAACAGAGUGGAGUGAUUCUUCAGACACAUAAUUGUUCCAUUCCUGAUUGGAGGUCCUGCUUUUGGGUCCUGCUGGAGUUCAAAAUGCAGUUUCCCCUUAAGGAGACCUUUAUCUUCUCCAGACUUCUGGGAUCCUGCACGGAAACACAGGCCCCUGUCCCCCAUCCAGCCACAAUUACCAACCAGGAGUCUGUGCUGUUCAAGCAGAUGCUACUAAAUUGAUUUGUUGUAAACUGUGGUGAGUAGCCAAAUAAAAGCCCCUGCUUGACAGCCUGCCUGUGCAACUGCAACACUGUGUAGUUGCACUUCUCAGCUAGUUGUGAACAUUUCCAUGUGCACAGGCCCUAAUUCCACAUUACCAAAAUAACUAGCUGAAAAUACCUGUCAACUGUUCUGAAAAACUUGUAUCUUUACAGAAGGGCACUGGAGAAACACUCAAAAAGAAUCCAGUGAGGUGUUAGAAGACUCCAGACCAUAAAUCAUCACUGGACAAGGAGGCACAUGCAAGAUCUGUGAAGAGCACACGGGGAUCAGGUGCACGGACUGUGAGGGGAUAAAGACCCAAGAAUUUCUUUGUUCAGGCUCCCUCUCUGGAGACACCAAGCUCAAGCUGAAAUAAACUGACUUUGCCUCAGAACCCUUCCUCAACACCAGCAUGGAGCUUACAGACCCAACCCCCAAUUUAAACUGCUGGGAACCACAGCUCCUUCCACCCUGGAAAACUCUCCACCCAAUCCUAUUUCACUUCAAAAUCUGCCAAACCUGUAAAAUUUUAAUUGUACUUAUGCUCACAUUUCCAACCACCUUGCUACGGAUUUCACGUGACUCAAGGAGAUUUGUGUCUCUCCGAGGACAGGGGGUUCUCUGAUUAGAAACAGAAAUCUACAUCAGAGCUCAUCACCUAAGAUCCCGUUAUAUUCAACAGGCAAGAAAUACACACAAAGUGCACCUCUAAAACACAUUCAAGGCACUUCUUUCAUUGACCUGUAAAAGCAGAUCAGAGGGACUAGCUCAGAUGUGAGGUAAGCCCCCUCAUGGGGAUCCCUCCAUCCCUCCAGGACUGCCAGACCACACCUAGGGUACAAGGACCAGGAUUAGGCUCCCCACAGAGGUCGAUGCAGAUCACCACACUGCUGGAGAUCAGAGCUGGAACAAGAUGCAGGAUGGCUGUUGCAGUAACAACUUAUUUGCCAAGACCAUUUGCCUAAACAGUGGGAAACAAAAGUUUCCAUAUUUUUAUCAAACAACAUGAAAUGGUUGACCAGAGGCUGAGGGAUUUAAGGAGACCAAGUGCUAUCUUCCCUUCCUGAAACUCUUCAAUUGUACAGAAAAGAAAUCAUGGCUAUAGUUGAUAGAAUUGGGUAGAAAAGGGGUACCUGAGUGUUACCUACUAGUUGGGACAGAAGACAUGGGGUUCAGCCUUUGUAGUUGGGAUUAUUUGACCUUUUGAAGCAACACUUGUUACUAUACCAUGAUUGAACAGAUUGGAUGUAUGGCCCUGCUUGGGGGACUGCCACACCGCCAGGUUAACGAGUUGCAGAGCUGUCCUGAUAGGGCUUUCUUCCACAUCUUCAAACAGAGAAAACAACCUUUCUGAUUUAUACUGGUACUUAGGAGGAAAACUCAAGAUUUUCAGUUGCAUAUCAAUGCCUAUAUGGGAAGUUAAUCAGAUAAUUUCAAUUAAAAAUAGUAAAGAAGGCUGGAGGGAAAUCCUGAUGGUUGACACACGGUGCUGAACAUUUUGUGUCAUUUGUUUCCAACUAACGGUAUCUCAAGCCUGUCUUUGACACAGCCAGAACAACUUCAGGGAGAAAUGUGCAGUAAAAGGCAAAAGGUUGAAACCCUCCCUCAGUGAAGAGACAAUUCCAAAUUUCCACGAUAUAACAGCAAACAUUUUAAAUGUGCCUGCAAUGCAUAACAAAGUAAGGGCUCGGAAAUGGCAACAAAAUGGAAAUUUUGCAUCAGUUGAGAGAGGAAGGAGCUGAAUGCCGCCAUUAGCUCAAUCUGAUGCAAGGUCAUUGCAUGAGCUACAUGCAUUGUGCACAACUCAAAUCAAAAUUUCAGGAUUUCCUCUCUGCCUUUAUCUUUGCAAUCAUGAUUAUGUAUGCCCACAGCUGAGCUAUGCUGGUUGUCCACAAAAAAAGGUAAUUUCUGGAGAGGAUGUUUUACUACCAUUAUUUCAAUAUUUAAACUGGAUUUCUCAUUCCUUCACAGUAAAAUUCCACCGUGAGGUCUGCCUGCAUUGUUGCAGCAGACAAGGGUAGGAAUACAGUGUAGGAAAAGGACUUCUGGCAGCAAUCAUGAUAUUUUUCACUAAGAACAGUAAGCCUGAUAAAUAACUAAUUUCUGUCUAUAUAGCCAGGCUCCAUUUUCUUCAAAGAACCUCACAUCCUUCUUUCUUUUGGUGGCCUUUCAAGCCCAUCUUCACUACAUCAAAUAAGCAGAAGCUAUAGGGGAAUUAUGGAGAAAACGAAUACCGUUUCAAGAUGGGAAAAGCAGUGCCAGCCCUACUGCAAAUGUAGAUCCCUUUAGUGUUAUUUAUUCAGACUAUUUUCUUUCUGUCAAAGUGAAACAUAAAGGCUCAGGCUUCCUUACUGAUCCCUUACUUGGGUCUCAGGGAAAUGUACACCCAAUGUUUGGCAUAUUCUGGAAUCACUGCCAAGAAAACUUUAAAAUCCUUGCCUUUAAAAAAAGAGUUUACAUCAUGUAUGGAGGUAAAACAGGAAAGUCUAUGAUACUAUAAUUUACAGCCAACAUUAUCAGACUUGGUAGUUAAGAACGUCAAUCCAAAAUCCAAGCAUUGGUUUGUGGAUUGCUGCUUUUGCAGGUCCUGAGAAUUCGCACAGCUUUAAAGGGAGUCUUCAGGGAUGAUCAUUAUCUCUGAUGUGGAUCCCAAAAUUCUAUAAAUACUUACUCUCUUAAAUCUAAUUACAGGUAUAGGCAAAGUAUUUAUGUUAGUGCUUAAAAGAUUGUGGGUUUUGGUAAGGUUUAUGAUCCAAAUUUCAGUCACCUGGAUUUGAAAAUCUGUCAGCAGAAUUGCACCAAGCCUGAAGAAACCUCUCCUCAAGAAGAAUCAAGACUGCAUGGUGCUCGACACCUUUAUCAAAGCCACCUUUUAUCAAAGGCUCAAGGAAAUACUUUUCUCCCUUCCCUACCGAAUGAUGCACCUAAUGAGCCCCUGUGUCUUGUGCAAUCCUUUUGCUGCCCCUCUGGCAUCCAGGCAGGCUCCAUUCCCAAUGAACCCCAGCUGCCCUGCCAGCCCUUGGCAGAGCUGGGCACAUGGAUUGCAGAGCCAUCACUGUGCAGCAAAGUGUUCGUUGAAUUUCAGCACCUGGUUGCUCCAGUUAGAAAUUGUGGUUAAGGAUAACUGCAGCCCACUCUCCUCCUCUGCCCAAGGGGAGAAGCAGCUGCUCUCUGUCUAAACAGGCUCUGGUGUGCAGUAGGGAACCUAAGGUCUACUUGUUUGAGAGAUUUAUGGGUAUAGG